AGAAGAAGAAGAAGAAGAAGAAGAAGAAGAGGAGUUUGGAUUUGAUAUCCCGCCUUUCACUCCCUUUAAGGAGUCUCAAAGCGGCUAACAUUCUCCUUUCCCUUCCUCCCCCACAACAAACACUGUGUGAGGUGAGUGGGACUUUGAGAGACUUCAAAGAAGUGUGACUGGCCCAAGGUCACCCAGCAGCUGCAUGUGGAGGAGCGGAGACGCGAACCCGGUUCACCAGAUUACGAGACUACCGCUCUUAACCACUACACCACACAAGGAUGCCCACUGUCUCCCUUCUUAUUUAUCCUGGCUCUGGAACCCUUAGCAAUCCAAAUCCGAGCAGCCACAGACAUCAAGGGGAUGGAAAUAAAAGGCAGAACCUAUAAAUUAGGGCUCUUUGCAGAUGACCUAAUGGUCACAACACCAGAUACCAUAAGCACAGCAACCUCCCUAAUCAGAGAACUCAACACAUUUGCAAUGGUGUCGGGCCUACAGGUAAAUUUGCAAAAUAGUCAGAAGCUAUGUGCUUCAACACCCCUCCUCACACACAAAAAGAACUCACUAAUGUCACCAAAAUAAAACUUUGCCACACCAAGUUCAGAUACCUAGGGGUACAAAUAACCAGAAACCUCAAUAAGUUGUACCUCCACAACUACAAGCCCCUGUGACAACAAAUUAAGAAAGACCUAAAGAGAUGGAACAACAUGAAUUACACUCUUUCAGGCAAAAUAGUCAUGAUCAAAAUGAUCACCCUCCCAAAAUUAACCUACCUAUUCCAAACCCUCCCAAUCUGGAUUCCCCCAACCCAACUCCGCAGAUGGCAGAGAAAACUACACUCUUUUAUCUUCUCACAUAAAAAACCAAGAAUAAGCCCCAAAUACCUGCACCUCCCCACCUCAGAAAGAAGAUGGGGAAUCCGCAACAUAGAAGCAUAUUACAUUGCCAACCAAAAUAUGCCAUAUAAUUCCAUAUAUACUAGAAGAUGAGACAAAACAAUGGGUACACCUAGAGAGGAACACAAUUGAAAAUACCUGCACCACAGCAUACCCACUCCUACCAAACAAACUAAGGAAAAUUCCCACAGCACUUAACAGGUACACACAGACCAUGCUCAAAGCAUGGAAAACAGAAAUAGGCAAAUUAUCCCCAACCCCAUCCCCACUAAUUCCCCAUGCGUACCACCCAUUAUUCCACCAUGCAGCACAAAACCUCCAGAUAAAAACCUGGCAAACCAAAGACUUAUAUCGCCUAAUAGACUUCUAUAAAAAUAACAAACCUUUGUCAACACAAGAAAUACAGGACAAACUAGAAGACACCCAAAUGCCUUGGUUAGCACAACACCAAUUACAUGCCCUCUUAAACAAUCCAGCAGUAAAAUCAGCAGCAACUAGGCCCCUGACAACCUUCGAAAACCUUCUCCUAACAGCAAAGGGACACGGUAAAGGGAUGGUAUCCGCAAUAUACAAAAUACUACUCCGAAAUCCCACGAACCUCUUAGACACAAUCAAAAAACAAUGGGAGGAUGACAUAGGCUAUGAGAUUAGCCCCACUCAAUGGACCAGAAUGUGGUCUAAACCCCCCUUUAAAUCCAUAUCAAUGGGGGGGAAAGAAAAGGACUCAUUCUGAAACUCACCUACAGGUGGUACCUAACACCCAGAAAACUAUGUAAAAUAACUAAGCAAGUAUUAGCAUUCACCCCAGAAUUGACCCUACUAAACAUCUUCCAAGACCAUAAUGCCCAUAAAGAACUCAUAACCCACCUACUUUCAGCAGCCAGAAACCGUGAGGAGAAUCACAACUUACAGGGUUAAAUAGUUCUGUGUGACGUCUCACAUUCUGAGGCGUGGUUUGGUUCACAUACGGGAAUCUUUCUUUGUGUGUGAGUUUCCUUUCGUUUUUUGGCUGAGAGACGAAAGAAUGUCCACUCUCUCGCCGGGCUGAUUUAUGAUGUUUUUCUUCUCAUUAAGGCUGUUAGAGAUUAGCAAGAAGCCUGCGUUCAGUCUGAUUUAUUAUCCACACACGAGGCAACACUUUCUACCGCUGCAGAACUCUGCUAAGGAAUCUGCUAAGAGGUCAAGUUUUUCCUAUCGGCACAAGCGUCCAUCGGCACAGGGGAAGUGUGCCGGGUGCCAUCUUAUCUCAACAGAAACAUCAUAACCAGACACUGGAGAGACCUGUCAGGAGUAAGCAGGGACCAGUGGUAUGGGAAACAGCCUUACUAGAAAAAUUAACCAAUAAACUGAAACUGACAUGGGGACAAAUAGAAGAAGACACCUUCACUCCGGUAUGGCUCUCCUUUAUCACAUACGCAGCCCAACAAGACGAUGACAAAAAUCCACCAACAACAUACAAAUCAAGAUGGCUAACCUGAUCCAAAACACCCACCCACCCCACUCACACUUGAAAACAAAGAUCACCACAGCCAACCACAAACAAACAACCACACCCUAGGCCAACUCCAACCUCUCUCACCACCAAAGGAACACAAGCGAACAGCAGAGAACCUGCACAAGCAACGCUGACACAAAACCCCACAUAUAUUAAGUAAAAUGGAAAUAUCGCCACCCCACCCCCACUCACCUUUUUCCCCUCCACCUCUUUCCCCCUUUUCUUCCUAAUGUCUCAACAAAUGAAACUGAUCUGUAAAAAAUGUUACUUGGGGGAAAAAAGAGAGACAUUGCACAUACUUUUGUAAACCAAGAAAAUAUUUAAUAAAAAUAAAAUAAAAUUGUGCUAUAAAUGUGUGAACCCUCCUGGAGAUAAUUCGUGGACUUGUACAGGAAAAAAGAAACCAUCAUUUGUAAUCAAUAUCCAAUUAAUUCCCUAGGCUUAACAAUUAAAAACACCUCCUGCACUAGAAAUAUUGUCUUCAGAUAGCCCUACUGAGCCCAGGUUUUCUGUAGGACCGACCACUAGAAUUAUAGCAACACAUGAAUAAUGCUACAUUCGUCUGUCUGUCUCUCUGUCUCUCUGUCUCUCAUCUAUCUAUCUAUCUCCCAUCAAUUUAUUAGUGAUCUCCCCACCACCACCCCACCGCCAUCAGCCAUAAUCUAACAAAUCUAUAUGUUUUUUCUUACUCAUUCUACUCAUAACUAUUGAUGCGGUAGAAAUUUCUGUUCAGUUCACAUUUAAUUAAAACUUUCUGAACAAUAUGGAAAUGAAAAAGAGGCCACCCUUCAAAAAUUGUACUUUUAAUAGAUUUGCAGUUCAGUUCUCCAGCCAAAUAAGGUGUGCCUUUUCCCCCAAACCACACCCACCUACCCUAUACCUGAUGUCAUAUGUGAUGCAGGGAGAGACACUCAAUCACAGAGUCGAUCCAUGCAGAGAGCAGCUUUGCCAGCCCUAUGUUUGGUGCUUUGCUGAGCAAAGGGCCAGCAAAACCCCAUGCGCUAUUGUUCCCAAGUGCCUGGCAGCCAACUGGCUAUUGAGUGCUUGGGAAGUGCUGCGCAAGGGACAGCUGGGUGGGACAAACCGCCUGUCAGUCAUCUGACAUAAUGAUGCCUGGUGAGUGACAAGUGGGUUGUCCAGCCCACCUGUCAGCACCAGCCUAUGGGGGGUGAGGACAGAUAGUGAUCUAGCCCAUCAGGCCAAAAAAGGCUCCUUGAUCUGGACAAACUGGAACAGUUUCAGAGGAGUACAAUGAAGGUGGUCGGUUGGGGGAAAGUCCCAUGAGAGGAAAGCUGGAGGAACCAGGUAUGCUUAGCCUGGAAAAGAGAAGAGUGAAGUUCAGGUCAAUUCUGCCUGGAAGAGGUGUGUGCCCCAUUGGGGUAGUGGUGGUGGAAAUACUUGGGGGGGCAUAAAAAAUGUGGGGGCCAAGGAAGGUCAGUUGGCAGGGAGUAAGAAAUGUCCCUGUUUUCAUCUGAGGAAUGUUGGAAGGUAUGUCUAUUAAAGGCAUGGGGCAGGCACAUAUUAAUAGUCCAUGUGGGGUAUCCAAUGUUGAUCGGACUCAAAGCAGAUCCAUUGAAGCCAAUGGACUUUGGUGCAUUGAGUUCAAGGGGCCUACUCUGAUGUUGUUGGAUAUUAUUGAAUAGUACCAUGGAAUGAGUAAAUUCUUAGAAUUUGUUUGAAAUCUACAGUAUUUAUUUCUGAGAUUGGCCUUCAAAUGCACAAAUCAUAUGCAGUCUUUAGCAGGAGAAUGAUUAUAGCCGUAAUGGAAAUUCUCAGUGUGGAUUUGAACGUUAUUGAUGUCUGAGUGACAAAAUACUUACAUAUAGCAUGUGCCUAUGGAGUUGCCUGCGUGAUCUCUGAAUCCAGACUGCAGAACUGAAAACAAUCAGAAAGGAGCCCUUUCUUCAUGACGUACUGUUUGCUGUGUUAAGUGUUGGCUUAUUUAUGCGGAGUUUGGAAAAUCUGCCAUCGAGCAAGGGGCCAUCCAUCAGCUAAGGAAAUGAAAAGGCAUUUGGGAAUGGGAAUUUGAAGGACACAGAAAGAGACACGCACAGAGAGAAAUAGACAGGAGCCAGUCUCUUCUAAGUUCUUAGUUUGGGCACCAAGUUAAGACACAAAAGCAUUUGCAACAACAUUGUGGGAAGAAAGAAUAAAAGCGAGGCUGUACAGCCAUUAAGGCAAUUAAGGAAAGAUUAAGGUUGCUUUUUGUUGAAAGACCCAUUAAUCAAUAGGCCAGAAUUCACAGCAUGUUGCAAAACAUAAGUCUACAAAAAAAAGGAGGAAAAAAAGGAAGAGGGAGCGGGGGGGGGGGGCACAGACCAAACCACUGGCCCCAAUUCAGAGUUCCUCUUGAGAAGCAGUGGACUGUGUAUAAGCUGCUGCAUUCAAGGAUCAGCUCUGAUAAUACUGAUCACCUCUCUCUCUCUCUCUCUCUCUCUCUCUCUCUCAGCAGGAGUGUGGCAGUAGGGAUACCUGACGCCACACAUGCACACCCAAAGGAGAUAAGAAUUUAAUGCUACCAAUUAGUGCUAUGACGAAUCUUGCCUUCAGAUUUCCAGAAGAUUUUUUGUCCCGUGUGAAAGAGGCUGGAUUCCUCUUGUCUCUGCCUCUUUCUCAGGAGGCUUGAGAAAUUCACAAAAUUAGCAGUUUACACUUACCUUACACAUGACGUGGCCAAGCGGGUGUGAGUAAGUGAACAGCCUCUUUCAUUGUGCAAUUAUUUCUUGGCACUCUGCAAUCUUCCCAGCCCACACUUCCUAAAAACUCCAUGAUGUCCAUGUUCGCUGCGCUUUCCUGUGAGUGCAGGCACUUUGGAAGGCUGAAGGGUGCAGACUGCAAGAGUGCGGAUGGGCAGAAUGCACUCACAAAAGGUUAGACAAACCAAAAUGCUUGUUUACAAAGUUAUUGUACUACCAACCUUACUGUAUGCUUGUGAAACAUGGACCACUUAUAAACACCAUCUCCAACUCCUCGAAACAUUCCAUCAACGGUGUCUCCAAAAAUUUUUACACGUCACUUGGGAAUACAGGUGAACUAAUACCAAUAAUACUAAUACGGGAAGAAGCAGAGAUCACCAGUGUUGAAGCAAUGAUUCUUCAACAUCAACUUUGUUGGACUGGUCAUGUUGUUUGGAUGCCUGAUUAUUGUCUUCCAAAGCAACUACAGUGGUACCUCAGGUUACAGAUGCUUCAGGUUACAGACUCCGCUAACCCAGAAAUAGUACCUUGGGUUAAGAACUUUGCUUCAGGAUGAGAACAGAAAUCGCGCAGCAGCGGUGCGGCGGCAGCAGGAGGCCCCAUUAGCUAAAGUGGUGCUUCAGGUUAAGAACAGUUUCAGGUUAAGAACAGACCUCCGGAACGAAUUAAGUUCUUAACCCGAGAUACCACUGUAAUCUAUUCCGAACUUAAAAUGGAAAGCGUAAUGCUAGUGGUCAACAAAAGAGGUUUAAAGACAAGGCAAUUUUUAAAAAAAUAUAGUAUAAACACCAACAAUUGGGAAACACUGGCCUGCGAGCGCUCCAGUUGGAGAACAGCGUUUACCAAAGGUGUCAUGGGCUUUGAAGACACUCAAACUCCGGACACAAGGGAGAAAUGUGCUAAGAGGAAGGCAUGCUUGGCGUGAUCAACUCCUGCCCGGAAACCAAUGUCCCCACUGUGGCCUCCACAGUCACUUACGGAGUCAUUGCAAAAACCAUGUUCAUGGAAGACAAUCUUACUUGGCUAUGAGUGAUCGCCAAAGAAAGAAAGAAAAGACACUGGUCACCUGAGAAGUAAGGCAAAUGCAAUAAAAAGCCAACAUCCCACUCAUUAUUCCCUUGGAUAAUUUUCUAACUAAAUUUACUUUCUCAUUCAUUGAGGAUAAAUGGUCUGGGAAACAUCUUGGCACAUCACUAGGACCAAGUUUGUGUUCAGAGGUUCCGUGUGCAUUGAAGGCAUCAUCCUUCUAUAUGAACUGUUUUUCCCCAUGAGGGAUUGCAAUGUAUGAAAGCAGGAACUAAAUAUAUCUUAAGCCAAAUGAUGUGGAGGCGUCGUAGUGAAAAUUCCUGUUGUUUUGCAUAAAUCAAAGGCCUCUGUAAACAGGCAGGUUUUCAGCACGCACUGAAACUGCACAAUCAUUGGCACAUGUCUUCUUUUUAAACACAUGCACUGUAAACCUAUACCCGUGUACCUGGGAGUAAGCCCCUUGGAAUUCAGAGAGACUUGCUAUGCCCAACAUGCCUGUCUCUGCCCCUCCCUCUUCAUACCUCUUCUGGUCCUGGGAGACUAGGGGGAGGAGAGAUGGUCACAGCCAGAGGGGGAGACACCCUGGCUUUGUCACCAACCUGACUCAUCUCUGCCUCUUGGCCUCCCUCUUCUCUGGCUUCCGCCUCUGCUUCUGAUUUGGGAUUUCUCUCCCUGCUCACCACGCCCUGUUACCUCUUCAGCUUCUGACACCUCCUCCUCCUCCCAGGCUUCUCCUUCUGACCACUUGUCAUAGUCCCACCACCAGUCCCCUGGCUCUGAGUCUUCUUCCCCAGCUGGUGCCUCUCACUUUUCCUCUGUGUCCAGCCAGUCUACAACAGGAAGGAAGACAGUUUCCAGCUAUUCCUCUUCCCUCUGGAGCCUGCCAUGUCCACCCAAAUCUGCUCCAAGGGGUCCUUCAACCCUCCAGAGCAGAUUUGGGGGAGAUGAGGUGCUAUGGAGGGUGGGGAGUGCUGAAAAUUGCCUCGCUUGAUACCUUGCGUCAGCACAGUGAUGCCACUUGAAGCUCCCUGAUAUUUCCUUUUUAACUCUGAUUUGUGGGAGAAUAUUUAGUUAUUGAAUUAAUACAUCUACUUGAAAAAACCUAUUUGACUCUACUCAAGAGCAAGUCCUGCUAUGAUGAUGAUUCACAGAAGGGCCAUUUCCACAGUAGGCCUUUGACUCUGGAACAAGCUUCCCUCAAAGGCAUAUCUGUCUCUCACAUUAUCGAGUUAUUUCAGGCACCAUCUCAAAACAUUUUAUCUAUCCAGGCUUUUGCAGUUCAAUAAAUAGAAGAUGUACUCCUAAUUAGCACUGUUUGUACUCCUUUUUAAUACUUUGGUACUAAAUUUUUAGUGCCUAUGUGUUUUUAGCUCUGUUUUUAAAUGUUUGGUGUACAUUGCCUCAGUGGCAUAGCUAUUAACAUGAGUUUGACCAAACUGUGGGAGGCAGUUGAAGACAAGAGUGCCUGGCGUGCUCUGGUCCAUGGGGUCACGACGAGUUGGACAUGACUAAACAACUAAACAACAGCAACAACACACACAUACAUAAUUUUAUUUGAAUGCUGCCUUUCCACAGUUCAAACCAUGCUCAAGGCAGCUUACAACAUGGAAAAAACACAUAACACAACAAAAGUAGUCAUAAACAAGAAACAAAACAUUAAAAAAUACAAAACCAAACCAAACAAUUUCUACAUAAAUUGCAACAAAAUCUAAAAUAAAGAUGCAAAAAACCAACACACACAAAAAAUCCCAAACAACAUUCUAGUCCAAAAGUCUGUUCAGCAUCCUCAGCUUUUGUAGCUGGAGUCAGUCAGUGCUCCAUCCUCCUACCCAAGUGGAAAGAUGCCUGCAAGGCAGGGAGCAGGUCUUUCAGGAUUCACGGCCAAGGUGGUAAUCAAACUACCUUAUACUGAGCCCACAUCAUUGGUCCAUCUAGCUAAGUGUUGUUGACUCUGACUAGCAACUACUCUCCACAGUUUGAAGCAGGUGCUUUCCCCAUCCUGACCUAGAGAUUACAUGGUUUGAACAUGGGACCAUCUGCAUGCAAAUAAGCCCAAAGCUGAUAAUAAGCGAGAUCUUGGCUCAGGUGGCAUUAGAACCAUGGCCUUUCCUGUUCACAGCCACUGCAUCAUCUGGCUGCGUGAAAGUAACUCUCCUAUUUGCUCCACACCAAUCGCCUGCCCAAUCAGAGAACUCUCCUAUUGCUUCUGAAAUGUGCUCCAGCUAGGGAUCUGGUGAUCUUCCAGGGGAAGUGAGGUUUCACAGAAUGGAAGCUGCUACAAAAACCAUUUCUGUUAGGAGCAGCUGUUAGUUUCUGCUGUUAAUCCUAGCGCCUCCCGUUUUUCCAGCGGCUACAAUCAACCUGUUGCAUACCACAGACUGAGGUUUUUGCCUUGUUAUUUAUUUUGCUUCUUGUUGGGAAUGAGGUAGCCCUUUACAACGAACAUAUUCUUAAGGCUGCAAAAACCGUGGCGUGAGCCCCACUAAAAAUCCGGCACAAUUUAUUUCUGAGGCAUAAAGUCGAGCUGCACAAAUGAUGAGUUGCUAGGGGAUCAAAAGCAAUCCUGAUCUGAACUACCAAAACUCAUAUUAAGACUCAUAUUAAGGAGCCAAUAAAAUAGGAUAUGUGGCCAUCCUGUUCCGAAAGGUCUCUUCCAACCCCAACCCCAGGAAGGACAACAGAGAGAAAGAGAGAGAGGAGAUACAGAGGAAGGAAGAGGUAGGAAAAGUCAUUGAAUCAUAGAAUUGUAUAGUUGGAAGGAACCCCAAAGGUAAUCUAAUCCAACCCCCAGCAAGGUCUGUUCAUUCACAAAAGGGAAAUUAGGAUUCAAACCUUUGUCUUCUUCCUUUAACUUGUUCUGUUUGCCAGUCUUAUGACACGCAUGCUGAUGGCCAUUUAUUUCCCAGCAACUUGUCUUCUGGAGCGGCAAGAAAGGAAACCCGUUGCUAUGCACAGACAUCCCCAAACUCGGCCCUCUAGCUGUUUUGGGACUACAACUCCCAUCAUCCCUAGCUAACAGGACCAGUGGUCAGGGAUGAUGGGAAUUGUAGUCCCAAAAACAGCUGGAGGGCCGAAUUUGGGGAUGCCUGGCUAUGCACUUCCCAUCUUCAGCUGGGCAUUCCAAUAGGAAGGGAGGCCCGUUGUUAAUUCAGAUUGCUGCUCUUCCUUUGAGCAACUAAUUGAAAUAAGUUUCAACAACCAGCUACUCAGGCAUAUAUACCCAGUCAUACCCAUUGCAAAAGAAGAAGAAGAAGGGGGGAAAAGCCAUCAUGGCUAUCAGUGAGAUGGUAUAAUUGAGAAUCACUGGCUUUGCAAGAUGCCUUCAGGCUCCUAUUUUGGGGUGGAAAUGGGGAAGACGGGGUCUUAAUAUGCUAAUUAAGAAAGGGAACAGAGUGGGAGGGCAAGCCGCACAUGUUAAAACCAGCACCUGAAAUAAUUGGAAAUUGGCUUAAAGUGGAGGCGUGUAACCUGAUUGAUUUGCCAGCUCCAGGGCACGUUGCUUCAUCUUUGGAGUCAGGGUCAUCAUGCAAUCCCUAAUGUAACAGAUGUAGUUUGAGAGGGAGCCGUCACUGGCGGGAUGGAGCUGACAGCUCAAGUGUUUGCAGAGAUGACUGCAACACAGCCAAGGGAAUAAUUAUUUGGGAAUGCCUUCGGGUUUGUGAUUUUUACACAAGGCAGAAAACAUUCUGCCCCCUACCCCAAGAUGCCUGGAGUGUGUUGGAAGGAUUGUUGUUUCUUAAUCACCUGAAAGCAAUUGUUUUUGAUGUUUCAAGAUGGAAGAUGGGUCAAAAACAGAGGGAGGUCUUGUACCGAGGCUAAAAUAAGCUAGGAAUAUGCCAGCCUUCCACUCAUAAUGCCAACAACCUCUUGUGUCACAAGUUCCAUGGAGGCAGUUAGUUGUUUUUGUUAUUUUUACCCAUGGUGUUUUAAGUUGCAAAUAAAGGGGCUAAUAAUUUAAAAAAUAAAUGUAUCUAGCUGUUGUUUUAAAUCAGGGGUGUGGAAGCUGUGGGUCCCCAGAUGUGGCUGGGAUCAAACUCCCAUCAGCCAGCAUGGUCCAUAGCCAAGCAUGAUGGGAUUUGUAGCCUAACAUCUGAGGAGUCAGGUGCUUCCCAUCCUUGUUUUUCAAAAGCACAACAUUUGUCCCUUCAUCCUGUUAACUCUAGUCUUUCACCCAUACUUUUUUCUAACAGUGGUUUGAAACCACAAUAGUUUCCCUAACAAUAUCCUAAAGCACCCCAGAAACAUGGGCAUCUAAUCUUUUUCUGAAAAGCUGCAAGGCUGGCUUUCUUAGGAACCUUGUCUGUGGGAAGGGGAAAAUGAUGGAAUUGGAAUGAAAAUCUAAACAACAGAGGAGGAUGGCUAGGUUGCCUGGUGGUGGUGGUGGGAGGAAGCAGAGAUAAAUAAUGUAAUUUAUUUUUAAGCAGUGGUUGUAUCUGGACAGAGGUUCCUGGACCGCAAAGGGGAUGGAAACCAUCUUGUCUACUCACCAUGGUAAAGAUGUGUAUUCUUGAAGGCCAUUCUAAUUAUCUGUUUGGUAAAUUUAUAGGCUCCCACUGUUCAGUAUAAAGACAUACCCUCCAACAUUUCUCCAAUGAAAAUAUGGACACCCUAUUCAACAACAACAACAAUUUUAUUAUUUAUACCCCACCCAUCUGACUGGUUGCCCCAGCCACUCUAGGUCGCUUCCAACAUAUAUAAAAGCAUAAUAAAACAUUUUUUAGAAAACCUCCCCUAUUCAGGGCUGCCUUCUGUUGUCUUCUAAAGGUUGUAUAGUUACUUUUUUCCUUGGCUGGGGGAUCGGAUAACUCCAUGCUCUCCAACAUUUCUCCAAUGAAAAUAGGAAAAGUGGGACAUUCUGGGAUCAAAUCAGAAACCAGGAUGGCUUCUGUAAAUCUGGGACUGUCCUUGGAAAAUAGGGACACUUGGAGGGUCUGAAAAGAUGGCAAGAAUAAGGGUAAAAAGAGAUACCAUCAAAUUCAUCCUUAAAAUAAUGAAGGGCAGCUGCUCAUAAGAAGUUGUCAAAAUCCAACAGAGCCAUAAAACAGCGAACUCAGAUCUCUAGCCUCAUUCCAGGCAAGCAAGAGGCAUAGGAGCUGACUCUUAGGAGCUGACUCUUCAAGGACACAUCCCAGCCAAGCAAAAAUACAGAGGAUGUGAAGCAGGGCCAAUAGACUAGGGAGGGGUGUGUGGCCUGUGGAGAGUUAGGAGAGUCGAUUGAGACACACUUGGAGUAUCCUGGCCCAAAGGUUCCCCAGUACUUGUGCAGGCUGUUUUGGGAAGGCAUCAGAAGCACCAUAAGUGAGAUCAAGAGGCACAAACUGCAAAUGAAUCCAAUCAUGAUGCCGUUAGGCCACAUUAGCUAGUAGAUAAAUAAUAAAGAAAGAGCAAAGGGCUUUGGUAUCACAUGUGUUGAUAACAGCUCUGAUAAUGGUAGCAAAAAGCUGGAGAAGCAGUAAUCUUCCAAAAAUCGAUCAGGAAGGUGAGGAAACUGUGGGAUGGGAUGGCAAUCACUACUUAGAAAUUGCUUUGGGAGGGAAGAAUGCAAACACUCCAGAUUUUCCAACAAAACUGGUGGUCUUUUAUUCUGUACCAAAAAAGAGAGAAGAAAUUAUAACUAUGGGUGUUCUUAUAAUAUGAUAUAGUGUGACAAUACAUGAUGCAUUUGAUCUAAGAUUUAAGUAAUAUCUCGUAAUUAUGUAGUUAGGAAACUCAUGUAAAUAUAUCCGCAUGCCAUAAGAUCCUGCAAGAUGGCCUUGUUCCCUGCCAGCAGUGGUUUUUAAAAUACUUGUGAUUGCAAGUAUAACAGAAAGGGGGGGGGGAAAGAAACAGUGUCAGCUCACAUUAACAAUAUGAAUAAUCCAGCAGUCCUAAUUUAAACAUUAAUAUAAGCAGUCCAAUAGAUAGGCAGGUGAGCUAUAUAUUCAAAUACAGAAAGGGGCAGUGAGAUCUUCAGACCAGGUGAUUGUUCAUCCUUGCAACUUUGGAAGUACAAGUCUCUUUGCAACCAUUCUGGCUUGCAGGAUCCACUUUUGCUGUCCACCCGUUAGUCCCCACACCCAAGGUAUAUAAUUUCAAAGUACACAAACAUCUGCACACUUUCUCCCUGUGCUACGGUAUCGGUCAACCUCCUUCCUCCAAGCUACUGUGUCCCCUGAGAAGGAAACUGCCACUGGCAUCAGGGGAAGAACGAUAUCUCUGUGCUAGUGCACAUACUUCACUGCAGAUGGUGACAGCAGUCAUGAAAUUAAAAGAUGCCUGCUCCUUGGGAGAAAGGCAGUGGCAAACCUAGACAGCAUCUUAAAAAGCAGAGACAUCACCUUGCCAACAAAGGUCCGUAUAGUUAAAGCCAUGGUUUUCCCAGUAGUGAUGUAUGGAAGUGAGAGCUGGACCAUAAAGAAGGCUGAUCGCUGAAGAAUUGAUGCUUUUGAAUUAUGGUGCUGGAGGAGACUCUUGAGAGUCCCAUGGACUGCAAGAAGAUCAAACCUCUCCAUUCUUAAGGAAAUCAGCCCUGAGUGCUCACUGGAAGGACAGAUCGUGAAGCUGAGGCUCCAAUACUUUGGCCACCUCAUGAGAAGAGAAGACUCCCUGGAAAAGACCCUGCUGUUGGGAAAGAUUGAGGGCGCAAGGAGAAGGGGACGAUGGAGGACGAGAUGGUUGGAUAGUGUUCUCGAAGCUACAAACAUGAGUCUGACCAAACUGCGGGAGGCAGUGGAAGACAAGAGUGCCUGGCGUGCUCUAGUCCGUGGGGUCAUGAAGAGUCGGACACGACUAAACAACAACAAUAAGUGCACAUACUAUGUGCAAAAAAAGCUGCCAGGUUCAAUUCCAUAUAGGGCAGGAGAAGACUCCUUUCUGAAAUCCUGGAGAGCUGCUGCAAGUCAGCGAAGGUCUGGCCAGUGGUUGAGUCAGCUCCACAUAUUCCUAGCUUCUCUUCUGGGGAGAAAGGCUGGGAAAAUUGGUAUGUGGUGGCUAUUCAUCACGCUGGAAGAACAAGGUUAAAUCUCCUUUCAUUCACUCACCAUGAUUCUGCACCUGAUAAACUCUAUAACUGUUUUGGUGUGUGUUUUUUAAAGUAGAAAAUAGACACAUUAAAUGCACAGGCACAUUUAACCAUCUAUUUUGAUGGGAGGCAGUUGAGCUUCUUCCAUCCCAAGGCAGUGUUGCUCCAAAGGGGCUCUUGUGUUCUUAAGACAGGAGACUGAGAGCCCUGUCGGAUAAAACCAAAUGCUCAUCUAGCUCAGGAUCCUGUUUCCCACAGUGGCCAAUCAGAUGUCUCUGGGGAGAACUAAAGACUGAAAAGAAAUGAGAAACCAACAGAUUCACUCAUUCCUUAGAGCUAGCUGAUACACCAGUUUGCUGCUAUGCUACAACUCUUGUGUGUCUUAAGUUCACAGUGCCGUUCUCACACUUCCCCUUCCCCUUUAUUAUUUCAUCUGUAUGCAACCUCUGGUGAUAACCCCCUAUUUCUCCAAACCCCUGGUUUUUCAGAUUUUCUCAGUUCAUCUUAUCCUCACAAAGUUCAUCUCUUCGUAAUCACAGGGACUAGCUCCAAGAGACCACCUGCAUUGUUUGGGAUUCUAUGUGCUGAAGUGCUCCAUGUCAAUAUUUCCGUCGAAUGCCUGCUGAACGCUGAAACAUAUAUGUUAUGGACUCUCGGAAAGUGGCAACCGGUGGCCUCCCAUAAGCCAGCAAGCUCCAUAGAAUGUCAACCCUGUACAAGGAUUCAACAUGAGAUGAAAUGUUGCAUUGUAACCGACAGAGAACGAUAUUCAGUGUAUUGCUAAGGUUACAUCAGUACAAGAAUUCUCUUUGUGCAACUGAACCCUCUCCUCCCCCAGCACAAUGACCACAUCUGUUCUAGGUUUUCCUCCAACCUUCUGGAGCAGAUUUGGAGACCCCGUGGGGUGCACGGGGGCGGGGACAAGAGGGGUGACCGCCCCAUUGUGGUAGUGACAAUCCUUGCACUUGCACAAUUAUUUAGUUGAAUGCUGUCCUGAGUCAUAAUCAGAGCAGAGCCACUGGCAUCCAUGGACUUGAAUUAGUUGUGUGACUCAUUGUAUUUUUAAUUACAGACUCACUCUCUUGUCUGAUUUCAGUUUUGUGCCCUCUUUGCAGCUUUUGCUUUAAGUGGGAAACAGAUCAAUAUAAUCUCCAAUAUUGUGGCUGAUUCACAUUACUAAAAAUGUAGAGAUAUUGUAAGCAGGGUGUUACGGGAGGUCAUGUAAAUCUGUCACUGUACAAUAAGAUGUGCACCAGGUGUACAUAAUACCUCCAUCUUUUGAGUUGGAAGAAUCAUGGGAAUAGAUUACAGAGGUCCGUGAUACAUAUGUUAUGCCACUGAUAUGAUGUGAUGCAUAUAAAUUUUAACAUUAUUAGCAAGGAAAGCAGAGUUUCAGACAAAGAUUUCCCUUGUUCCUGCUAAGUUCCCCCUCUUCUUGACUAACCCAAUACGCCUUCCUGUCUUCCACAAAGAGCCCCUUCUGUCUCUAAGCCUUCUUUAAGGUUUUCAUAUACCAAUUGUCCUUUUAUUUCCCCUGCAGAAUUUGUUUGUCGGUGUGCUUUCUCUGUCACCUUUAGUUAACACUUCCACGAAAAUCCCAUGCCAUUACAAUGCAUUGGCUUACGACUUGUGGGAGAUGUGGCUCAUAGAUGGCAACAUGUGGCAGGCAAGUGACAACCAGGUUAUUGCUGUUGCAGUUAAAACUAUGCAUCUUGCCUCAUCAAUAAAACCACAUGCCUUUCCAAGCUCCUCUGGCUUUUCUCUAAGAACGCUAGAAUAUGGAACCGGUGUCACCAUGACAGUAAAUAGAAACUGGAUCAGGUCUUUAAGAGCAGAGAGAGUGCAGCUAUUAGCAUCGGAGACAGAAUUACUGUUAUCAUUCUGCAUUAAUCUGACUCUUUCCUAUGCACUGCCCUCUCAUUGUCUUCAGACAUUUGGAAAGUGUUCCCUUAGCAAACAAUCAAACCCACCAAGUCCCCUGUCAAUAAAUUUUAUUUGAGAAAUAUAGCGGUUGCAAUAUUGAUGGAUCUCGCUUUCCCCUCCUUGCUUGUCCUGGCUUUCCUCCGCCCAAGAGCUGUAUUUAGGGAAGAGCAGGUGCCCGUUCUCCUCCGGCAAAGGAAACACAGGCGAACGUUGAAGAGCACCCAUAUUUAAAUACUGUAUAGCGUGUCUAUUUGCAUAUCUUAGCACAUUUUCUCUGCAUGGAGUACAUUUCAAAAUAACCAGGGUUGCGGGGUGUUUGGGUCGGUGGCUACUGGAUCUGUUGAUAACUUGAAAUAUGUAAAUACAUCUCCUCUCCCCUCUCCUUCCCUCUCCCCCCCCGCCCCCCGCCUUGCUUUCUUCUUUUCUACAACCAGUGCUUUAGAUUGCAUUAGCUGUAAACAAAGAUGUAUUUGCAGGGGCAGUCGGUUUGAGUUUAUUGUUUAUGUAAAUCUCUCUGAAUGUGACAUAGCCAGAUAGCUUCCUAUGUUGUGCUGAUCCACGUUUUAGGCCUGCAGCCAAAAGUAUUUUAUCUUUUUACUUCAUUAUAGUGAUCUUCCAAUUAGCUGUGGUCUGUAAUACCCUGAUUUUGGUGGCAGUGGUUUGGGGAGGAUUGUUUGAUAGUUCUGCUCGAGAGGCAAAAUGAGUCGCCUUAUUAUAGAAAGUGCAGAGGUUGUGCAGUAGCCGAGUUCUGUUGCAAAGUUUGCCGAUAAGGGGAAAACUGGCCCUUGAGCAUCUAUUCUCUUCUGUAUAUUAACACUUCUAAUCUGCGCUGCUGAUAAAACUGGAAGCCAUUUGCCUUUGCAGGAAUUAGUUCUGCCUCACUUGUGUAACCAGGCGAUGGUGAUUAACCUUUAAACUGUCCAAUAUUCUCAGCAGACUCCUGCUCCAGAUUAGAAACUAUUUAGUUACGACCAACUAAAUUAACAACAUUCCCGCCUCUGAAGAAUAAGGUUUGGAAGGUAUGCAUUUUAAGGUGGAAUUGUAUUUGAAAACAGGGGAGAGAUGUGCUUGUUUGCUUCUCACGAGAUGCACACAUUUGGCGGCGAUGGGGCUGACUAAGAAAAUAGGUUAUGCAUUUCGGAGAAAAGAAGCAAGAGGCCUAAAUAGAAGAAGCCCAUGUCCUCUAGAUGCAAUUAGUUAGUAGCCAUUGAUGAACAUGUAGAUUUGAUCCAAACCUACCUAUACAUGUUUGAUUAUAGGUAGGUGAUACAUUUUGGAGAAUGUGUAUAUUUGGUUAUGUGCAGAUGGUUGAUUUAAAAAAACACACAGAGAGAGAGAGAGAGAGAGAGAGAGAGAGAGAGAGUGCGCGCAAUUAUUAAGGGAUAUUUCACUCCCAGCCAUACUAGUCACAUAAAAGGAAGUUCCAUCAAUUUGAAUUAAAUUUACUUCUGUGCGAAUCUGCUUAAAAUCAAUGCAGAAGUUUACAAUGGACACCACCAACUCUAAUCAACAGGUGAAUUAAUCAGCUUUAUUUUUUUUAAAAAAAGGCUGUAAUCCUGCAUCCACUUAUGUGGAAGUAAGCUCCAUUGAACUAAGUGGAACAUACUUUUGAGCAGACACGCAUAGGGUUGAGCUGUUCCAUGAUGAAUCCAAUGGGGAUUUUUUAAAUCAUGAGGUUCAAGGCUGAAGGCUCAGGAACUAUAUUUUUUAAUAAUAAUAAUAAUAAUAAUAAUAAUGACUUUGGUGUAUUAUAGGAACAAGGAGGAAAUUUUAAAUAUGACCUUCUCUUUAAACAAUAAAUGUAGCUUUUGUUUAUUAAAUGUUAGGUGAUUUCUCGGGUUAAUUUUUUUAAGCCUAAUCAAUUGAUCAAUUAAAUGCUUUAAAAACUGGGCAAUUAAUAAUUUUCUGAUCUUGGACUGGCAGAUAGCACGCAGGCACACACACACAGGCUGUGAUCUGAAACACAAUGGUUUGGAACCAAACUCAGUAGAGAUCAAUGAGACUUAAUUCCAAGUAAAAGUAUAUUGAGGAUAGAGUGCCAGCUGUCUCAGAUUUGAGAUGGCUUGGGAGAUCUCUGCCACAUAAUAUGACAAAGAAUGUAUGAUAAGGAGAAGGUGAGCAAUAUCGGAAAGGAGGGGAAGAUAAUUUUCUUUUAGGCAAAAAGGGCUCUCCCAGUUUUCUCUCUCUCGGGGUUAAGCUGAACAGUGAAAUAGAUGUUAUAAAUAUCCACAGCAGCCCCUCAUGCCCAAUAGGCUUCAGUUGGUGAGGUAACUUUGCACUGAGCUAUUGCAUCUAGAAUUUUUUUUAAUAUAAUGUAAAACUUAUCAGUUGAAAUGUAACCUCCAACUCACAUGGCAUAAAGACAAAAACGAGGGCAUUUAUGUAAUAAAUGGUGUAGUGCUUGUCCGACAUGCAUGAAAUGACUGUAUUGUUCUCCCUUGCUGGAGAACAAAAUCAAAAUCCCCGUUAGCAAUGUUUUUCUGUUUUACCAGUUUUUACAUUGGCUGCCUCCUUAAAAAUUGCUAAUCUAGAUACUACAUUAGUAGGGGUGUCAGUCAAACUGCAAUCCACAGUGAAGCCUUCUUCACAUACCAAUUUAAAUCAUUCAUGGUCCUUUCUUUGGCAUUAUUCAAAAGAUCAUAAUAAUUUUCUUGUGCCCACAGCACAAAAAAAAUCAAUUAUUUCCCCACAAAGACUUGAAAGUACUUAGCGAGUGCUGCAAGAAAAGCUGAGGGUUAUAUCAAAUUGAAAUUGCACUCAUUACACACAACACAAUUAGUUGCCACUAGUCUGGCCGGUCCUUUAAUUCUGAAUGGCAUAUCUUUAUUAUUACAGAAACAAGCAUGCAAAUGGCAUUGUUCAGGAUUUGCCGAAAUCAAUAGGAUAUAGUGCUGUGUGUUUGGUGGCCACUGUCACUCAAUCGGCUGUGGAUUUGAGAUAAUGUGUGUAUUUGAAUUAAUGAAGGGAAUGUGAGACAUCAUAAGUGACACCCAAAUAAAAGAAAUGGGUACAUGAUAUUUGUAAUUAUUCUACUUGUGUUUUUGUUGUAAAUACUUGUGCUUUUUGUUUUUUAAUCAAAGGAUUAAUUGCAUUUUAAUAAGGCAUUAUGAUUUUCAGAGCUUUAGUUAAUUAAAACUUGUAGUAUAUAAUUAUGAAGUGAUGCUGAGAUUUUUCUAAAGAUCACCCAUAUGUUUUGAAUGUGUACAUUUUCCCUCUUCUUGUUAUGCGGUUGCUACAUGAUUCCCUCCCCUCCCUUUGUCUUUUUAAUGAAUUAUAUUUAAAUGUUUGAGAGAUGACGGGUUCGAAUUUCGGACAGAUUUUUUUAUAUUUUUUUGUAAGUGGCAGCUACAGUACAAAAUGUUCAUGAUCUUAGGGUUGAGUCAUAGACUAUGUUUCCUUUGGGCUUUUUGAGGAUGCAGGACUCAUUCCCUGCAUCUGCAUUGCACAAUUAAGGGGGGGGGAAAUAUUGUGAUGUGGGAAACACAAUGCUAAUUGCUGACCUGUGAAAUGCCCAGACCCGGAAGCCAUUUGGAGAAUUUUUACCUGCAUAGCACUGAAAUCAUGGAAAGGGUGAAUUUAGGGACAAAGCAAAAAAAAAGUGACACCCCCCCACACACCGGAGGUGAACAUGCAGCUAUUGCCCUGAUCCAGUUUGCUGAAAUUGUAGCGCUCCCUUGGUCAUAUGCUGCUUCCUUACUCACAAGGAAUGCUCAUUUUGGACUCACAGGUGUCCAUGGAGGCGCAGGUUAAUUCUGUCUCCAGGGCAGCUGUCUACCAGCUCCACCUGGUACGCAGGCUGAGACCCUAUCUGCCCAUGGACUGUCUCACCAGAGUGGUGCAUGCUCUAGUUAUCUCUCGCUUGGACUACUGCAACGCGCUCUACGUGGGGAUACCUUUGAAGGUGACUCGGAAACUACAACUAAUCCAGAAUGCGGCAGCUAGACUGGUGACUGGGGGUGGCCGCCGAGACCACAUAACACCGGUCUUGAAAGGCCUACAUUGGCUCCCAGUACGUUUCCGAGCACAAUUCAAAAUGUUGGUGCUGACCUUUAAAGCCCUAAAUGGCCUCGGCCCAGUAUACCUGAAGAAGCGUCUCCACCCCCAUCGUUCUGCCCAGACACUGAGGUCCAGCGCCGAGGGCCUUCUGGUGGUUCCCUCAUUGCGAGAAGCAAAGCUACAGGGAACCAGGCAGAGGACCUUCUCGAUAGUGGCGCCCACCCUGUGGAACGCUCUUCCACCAGAUGUCAAAAAGAUAAACAACUACCUGACAUUUAGAAGACAUCUGAAGGCAGUCCUGUUCAGGAAAGUUUUUAAUGUGUGACAUUUUAAUGUAUGUUUAAUCUUUGUUGGAAGCCGCCCAGAGUGGCUGGGGAAACCCAGCCAGAUGGGCAGGGUACAAAUAAUAAAUUAUUAUUAUUAUUAUUAUUAUUAUUAUUAUUAUACCUUUGUAUGAUGGUAAGCAGCAAUUGUAACCCAGCGUGACCAUGGUCUUAGCCUGGGACAACCUUCUGGCCCUGCAGGACCACUGGGAGCCAAUACUCCAUCCUCCUCUGGCUAUGUAGGUUGCUGGUAGGCUUGUAUUCAAGGGGACCUAUCACAGGCAAGCUGUGUACCAGAAGCAAGCAGGGGGGUGGGCCUGGCUUUGUGGAGAACCUCAGCUCCUGGUCUUCACUCAGGUCCACUCACUGGACAUAUAAAGACUCGUUAACUCGGUCAAAGCUGGAUUCCCCAUCCUCCUGCCCUGUGUAGAGGUGGGGAGCAGGCAGGUUCUGAAUAUGCCCUUGCUAUGGAAAUAUUUGGUCGCUGUAUUCGGGGCCAGGGAGGAAUUUGCCUGCAGAUGAAUUAGGCCUGUAUGGAGGGUAUUGCCAACCUCACAGCAAUUGUCACAACUUGUUGGCGGAUAAGGCAUUGGAUUGGAUCCUUAGUCUAGGUGACGGAGGGGUUUGGGAAGCCACCUACCCUUGCCUUGAGGAAUCAGGGGUGCCAUGUUACAGAGGUCCGGGGGGAGGUGCUUCUAUCCGGAUGCCCAUUUGGGAGCUGGUGGCCAUAGCACUCCCCCAAAAAGUGGCAGCCCUGAAGGGAUCGCCUCUAUUUGAUGUACAUCACAGGGAAUUCCUUAACCCAGGAUUGACCCUGCAAAAUAGUCUGCCAGCCAGCAGUCAAGUUGGUUGAUUCAGGAUAAAUAUCUAUGCCAAAAGCUACUUGCAUCUGUAAUCAGUAAAGUUGUGGCCUGUUCGAACCCAGGAUGUUUACGAUCUCCAUUUAUGCAGAGUUCUUUCCCUCGCAAGAUUUAAUGUUUUGCUGUCUGCAGUUUUGCAAGGUACAUUCUCAAAAAUCCCAUAUUCUGAAAGGGGCUGCCCUUGUGGCACAAAACAGGUCGAAUCCAUCACACACGUAUUUCAUUGCCCACUUGAUGAAAAAAUAUAUAUGUAUUUGACCCCCUUAUGGAAGGAGGGGAUCUAUCGCACUGACUCUUCCAGUGUGUCCUAUCUGCUGAAUAAUUGUAGGAAGGACAUUGUGGAGAAUGUGGCGAGAUUUUUGAGUGAUGCCAUGAAAUUACAUCACUAUAAGUCCUAAGAGCCACUUUUGUAUCUCACAAUGUCUGUACAGUUUUAUCCUAAAGUACCUCCUACUAUGUUUUGUUACCCAUGUUGUGUUCUGAUCCAUGUAUAUGAUGUACUCUUACUAUGCCAAUAAAGGAAAUUGAUUGAUUGAUUGAUGUUUGUCCUGUGUGUUUAUAGUAUCUUAUCACGAUAUGGGCCCAGCCACCCGCAGGUUCUGUGCAGGGAGAACACACAUCUGUGCAUACAUUUCUUUGCACUUUUACUGUUGUUUUACCGUCUGGGCAGCUUCCAACAAAUUAUGAAACCACAUGCAGAAGUUCCCCAGGUGGGGCAGAAAAAAAUUAUCUGGAGACCUGCUGCCAGUCAGCGUAGGCAAUACUGGAUUAGAUGGACCAAUGGCCUUACUCAAUAUAAGGCAUCUUGCCAUGUUUAUGGUCAAAGUAGCAAUCCACCCAGUACUUCUUAAAUGUAUUUAUAACAUUCAUACCAUACUUUUCCAUUAUUUGGUGUCCAUGAUGGCUUAUGUAAAGCUCCCAGUCUGAUUUGAGGGCUCUUCUACAAGAUCAGAACUUGAAAUGGUGAGAUCAUUCAAGAUUUUCUACAACUCAGCAAGUUGUAGAAGGAGCAAGAAACCUGUUCUUAUUCUUCUGUUUGAAAGAACAUCCCUUAGUUCAUGAAGCCUUCAGUAAUAUAUAUCAAGGUAAGUUGUAUCCAGGCUUCACUUUCUGUGUAUGGAAAGACUCCUUCCAUUGAAGGCAGCCUUUAUACCCAGAGAAACUUCCUGUUGUGGAGGGAGGCAACUUUGCUGAUUGCCUCCUCCCAUUGCAGCUUCCUUCACUGGUAUUCCGGUAGAUCCCUCAACACCUACUAUAGUGUUCUGGAGGGUCCCUCAACACUAUGGAGGAGUGUGGAAGAGGUAUCAGGAUCACUAACUGAAGGAGAGAGCGAAGAGUGGAGUCGUAGGGGUAAGAACUAGAGCUGCACCAAGUAUGCGCUCCAAACACUUUUUGAGGGGGGUAAGGUUUGCUCUUGUGGGUGUUGAAAACCCUCCUAGCCUUUUAACGUUUCCCCAAGCUUGUCCCCAGUUGUGUUGCUCCUUCAGUGAUAUUUCCUCCCUUAUUAUUAGGCCAACUUUCUCAACCACUGCAUGAUCCCAGCCAGUCAGGGUUCACUGUGAUGAUGUCAGAGAGGCAGGGUGCCAAUCAGAUUUCCAGCAUUGCCUUGUGACAGUUCCAUUGCCUGUUUUCACAGGGCAGUGCAACACAAAGGAUAAUUUAUUGAUGUGGGGAAUAAAUUUCCCAUUUUUCUGCACUGUGGUGUGAGGGUAAGCAAUGAAAAAGCAUGGCAAGAAUGGGAGUGUUGAUCUAGUUCUUCCAACAGCAUGUUGUAGGGCAAUAUUAUCUGUUUUGCUGUGACAUGAAGAAGAAGGAGAUGAAGAAGAAGAUGAUGAUGAUGAUGAAGAAGAAGAAGAAGAGGAGGAGGAGGAGGAGGAGUUUGGGUUUGAUAUCCCGCUUUAUCACUACCCGAAGGAGUCUCAGAGCGGCUAACAAUCUCCUUUCCCUUCCUCCCCCACAACAAACACUCUGUGCGGUGAGUGAGGCUGAGAUACUUCAAAGAAGUGUGACUAGCCCAAGGUCACCCAGCAGCUGCAUGUGGAGGAGCAGGGAAGCGAACCCGGUUCACCAGAUUACAAGUCUACUGCUCUUAACCACUACAUCACACUGGCUCUCAAUGACAGUUUCAUUGCCCACCUCAGCUCAAUGUGAUACAAGACAGGGAGUAUCAGCAAUGGCAAUGUGUCUGCUGUGAACAUUCAUGUUCUUUUGAACCCCCCCCCCCAAAAAAGGACCUCCAAUUUUCCAAGGCAACAGAAACUUUCCUUAAAACCUGUCCUCUCUUUCAAUUCUCUUGAAGCAGAAACACACUUGCCAUCUAUCUGUUGGUGAGUGGUGCUGGCAGAGUAAGGCAAGGAGGGCGUUUUGGUGGUAUCCUGGCCUGUCUAGUGAUAGUUUGGGAUGUGUUAAGUUAGCAGCUGUUUUAAUAAACAAGCUUGGUAUACUGGUAGUGUUGCAGGUGGGUAAUUUUAAACUCUGGUCUUACAGGGAUCACCUCUGAAGUAAUCUGUAUUAACUUCCAAAUGUGGUUGGCUAGCCCUGCUGUAGUUGUGGCCCAUCUUCAUAUUCCGCUGGCCCUGAAGUCACUGGUGGAGGAACAUUCAAGGUUUCCUUCUAUAUUCUUCCCUCUGCUCUGGCUAAUUAUCAAUCGAAUCCACAUUACGGGUGCCUCUGCCAGUGGCUGGCUAUCAAGUUCAGGGUCUUCUUAGUAGUGGCACAUUGUCUGCAGAAGAUUUUUUGAAGGGAGCAUCAUCUGGUUAUCUUUCUUCAGCUUUUUUGGAAAAGGACAAAGAGAUCCCUCUCUAGAGACCAACACUACUCUGCUGAGGCCCAAUGAUAAAACUGAAGUAGAGCUGUGUUGUGUUCCAGCUGUGUCUUUUUAAUCAAUUGUGUUUCUUGUCUUGGGCUGCAUUCAGACAGCACUUUAUUCCAUUUUCCUAACAUUUCCUUACCUGAUAAUUUUCUUUUUCUAAUGUGAUCUUUCAUAUGAUGUAAAAGCUACUUCUGGAAAUCUAGUGGAAUCUAGUGGAAGUCUGAUGCCCAUACCCAUGUUAAUUGCAUCUAGAAGAAACACACACAUGUAAGAUGGAAAACUGCAGGAUGAAAUUUGGGGUGAUCUCCUGGCAUGCACUUUGUUCUCACCAUGGGGGAACAGAAGCAGCACCAGUGUUCAUAAAGGGUGAUGACAUGUCCAAUGGCAUCUGCUAUUGCGCCACACCACGUCCAUGGGACUGAAUUAAAUGUAGCACAACAUAUUUCAAUUUUUUUAACACCAACAGCUCCAUUAUACAACAGGUUAAAAGGAACCGUAUGAAGGAAGAAAUGUUAGAAACCUAGGGAUAGAAAUACUGGCAUUCUAACGAGGAAAACUAAUGAAAUAUUCCCCAAGUCUGAAUGCACCCUUGCACAUGAUCAUAUCUUGGGUUUUAGGUAAACAAUAGAUUGAAGAUGCUGUGAAAUGCUUUGAGGGGGCAUCAAACUGUUGCUUAGGUGUCAGGUGAACUUGGCAGAAAGUCUCUCCCCCCCCUUUUUUUUUGCACACAUCUUCUGAGAUUAAAAUCCGCUCCUCUGCAGCCAUUCCCCUUUCCCCUGAUGCUCUUAGGUAUACUCUAAAUGUGCAGCUGCACAAACACAGCAUUUGCCAUAUUUGUACCACCUGCGGUUCAGCAUCUCCCAGAUUUGGUUUAUUUGCAGUUUUCCCCCUGCUGUCUUUUGAUACGGCUCUCCUCGGACGCUUUGAGGCAAGGCGGGUUGAAGCUAGGAAAGAAACCCAAGGCAGAUAGAUUCUCUCCCCUACCCACCCACUCCAAAAAAAAAAACCCCACUGCCAGAGUUCAGCACUUAUUUAGGUGUAUCUAAAAAUGUACUUUAAGUAGGAUUUGCUCAUGUUUUCCCUCCCUUCUGCAAGCUGAUUUAAAAUCUAAUAUUAUUAAGUUGGCCGCAGCCUUCAUAUUUUAACUGUCAAGCCCAGAGCCUGAGAGGUGAUGCAUUCAAAGCUUGCUAAAAUAUUUGCUCAGCAGCACAAUUGUGUGUGAUGGAAAAUAAACUCCUCCAGAGCAUCUCCUCCUAUCAGGCAUGGCCUGCAGCCAGCGAAGAAUGAGGGAAGGUCAGUCAAUUAUGUGUGGUAAUCACCGUAAGCAUAUUAUCUGAGACACAGAUGUCUUCCCUGACCCCACACGACAUAGCUAUUAACCCCACAGCAAUAUAAAAAUGGGGCUGGGGGGGGGAGGUGCUGGUCCCUUAGGUAAACUAGACCUUUUCAGUUUGGACAUGUCCAGUAGAUCGGGGGAGGGAAAAGUUGCAAGACAAGGGAGAUGGUUUUUUCAGGGACCUGUCCAACAACCUGACCUUUUUGUCGCUGCCGUCAGUGAGGUGGCGUGCCUCCUCUUUAGGGACCUCGCUAUAGGCCUAGUCAUGUGAGAUAAAUAGCUGCAUCAUCUGAAAAUGAGACGAACAAAUUGACUUGUAAGAUAUCGCAGCCGCAUCGUAGCUUCGGAAUGCCACUUCCCGAUUUGUUGGGUGGCGGGGGAGGGGGAGAGACCAAACAGCCAUUUGUGUGAUCCACUCCUGCGUACGUUUUUUAAAUAUGGCCCCUCUCCUAAUAUCGACAAAGUAUAAUGGCAAUAUCACACAACUCGCCUAACGCCGUAAUGCAAGAAAUGGGAAUUUCUCAUUACGUGGCAUAUUUGCAGCUAUCGCUUUCCUGCACAAUUGCUUUCAGGUUGGGAUUUGUUGGCAGAAUUACAAACUUGUUAGCUAGGGUAGAAAGAAUACAGGUUGUUGUUGUUUCUAAAUAACCCUCAUAUAGCUGCAAAAUAUAAUAUAUACAUACAGUAUAUGAAUGCGUAUAUAACAUAAACCUAGCUUGAGUUUAUAUGUAGGAAGCUUGCCUGCACUGUUAGAUGAGUUAUACAUACUCAACUAUUAUAUGAGUCUGCACUGGUGUGUGUGUGUGUAGGUUGUCUCAUGUUGGCAUGGGUAACUCACAGGAGAACAGAAAGACCAAGGGAGGAAUUCAGUGUCACACCAAGGCGAUCAUUCCAUCUGGACAUGCGUUUUGGCUUACCAGACAGAACAAUCUCCCCUCUCCUCUCCCCCACAUGCUGUUCUGGGGGUUCUCCUAACCCCACCUUCUAGAGCCAACUUCAGGGGCACAUGAGGUGAUCAGUCACUAUCUUUUACCAUAUUCCCUAAUGAACAUAUCCUAAAAGAAAACAAUAGUAAUAGUAAUAAGGAUUGUGGGAAGGUGCCUCAUACCAUGGGAGCCCAUUGGUCCAUUCAUCUUUGUGUUGUCUACACUGACUGCUUUUAAUGUGUUUUAAAUGUAUGAUGUGGAAUGUGACCAGAUUUAGGCUGCCUAAUGUCACCCGUGGAACAUCAUGCUAUGUACAGGAAUUUUAAUCCUGCUCUCCAUUCUCGAUGUCCAACACUCUGCCAAUACUCCAACCACUUUGUUACACUCUAACUCCCUCUUCCUUUCUAUUCACCCAUCCACCAUGUUUUUCAGUUUCUCUCUCUCUCAUUGGCUACUGUAAGAACAGAAUACUGGACUAGAUUAGCUUUUCCUCUGAUCCAUCAGGACUGUUCUUAUAUUACUGUGCUCCCCUCAUUUCCAGCAGCAAAAUACAUUCAGCGUAGCCUCUUGUCUAGAAGACCAGAAACCCUCACAGAGAUACACAGUUGUCUGUUGCAGAGUCCUCCUGGUAUUCUCGCCCCUCUGGGCAAACAUCAUGAAAGAGAGAGACUACCUUCAGGUGAUCAAUAGCUAUUGGAACAAACCUCAGUGACCAUAUGGCUCCACUACGUAUUCAUGUUUGCAACCUUAGGCCCAUACUACUGGUGUUUUUGGUUGAACGGUCACAGGGUGCAAAGUUGCAGAGUGGACACAACUGUUUGCUGCACAAUCGGGGAAAGGUUUAGUUAAAGAUUUGCAUGGUCCAAAACAGCAAUCUCUGAUUAUCCUGAUGCUCCCUUGUGAUUGAAGGGACCAAUAUAUUUUUAAAAAACCAAACCCAAUGUAAGUGUGGUCUCCAUCUGUUUUAUGUAACUAUCUUAUAUAUGUCUUUAUUAUCUUGUAAAUCACUUCAGGGUGCCUAGUGGGAAGCAAUUCAUAAAUGAAAUUCUUCAUCAUCAACAUCCCUAAGUUUAGAGAUGUUUUCCAAAUCAGUUCUGCUGAUAAAAGUGUGUAUCUCAUGUGAUCACUGUAAACUAUCAUAUACAGUGGUAUCGGGGGUUACAGAUGCUUCAGGUUACAGUCACUUUAGGUUACAGGCUACACUAACCCAGAAAUAGUACCUCAGGUUAAGAACUUUGCUUCAGGAUGAGAACAGAAAUCGUGUGGCGGUGGUGGCGCGGCGGCAGCAGGAGGCCCCAUUAGCUAAAGUGGUGCCUCAGGUUAAGAACAAUUUCAGGUUAAGAACGGACCUCCAGAAUGAAUUAAGUUCUUAACCCAAGGUACCACUGUAUUGGCUUGGUUGUGUGAAAUGGCUAUCAGAUAUCAGUCACCACAGAUUGCAGUAGUGGGAUAACUGGCAUGGGGGGGGCAACAUAUUAAAUGAUAAACUCAUCACCUGAUAAUGCCCAUGUCUAAUAACUAUGAAUUAUCUCUUCAUACACAUACAUUAUAACGUCUACUUGGUGCUUCAGAACCCCUCCCCCCGUCCUUUGGCUCCUCUUUCCAAUUCUCCUCUUGUAGAAUUUUACAGCCAGAAGUGACCACAGAGUUCAUCUAGUUCGCCUCCCUUGUUCAGUGCAUGACAUAAAUGCAAGAUGUAACUAAAGCAUUCCUGGCAGGUGACCAUCCCCCCUCUAUUUAAAACAGUGCUUUGCAACCUGCUCUGCUGUCCACCAGAAGUUUUUGCUAAUGCUUUUAGCCAAAAUCUCCUUCCUUGCUGUUCUUACCCAUUACUUCCAGCCCUGGAAGAACACAAAGUUGCGUGUGCACUAUGCAUUUAAAUCAUGUGACUUCCCCCAAAGAAUCCUGGGAAUUGUGGUUUGUUAAAGGUCCUGGGAAUUGUAUCUCUGUUGCAGAGUUAACUAUAGUUGUCAGGGUUCUUUGGAGAAGUGUUCUUUUAAUGUGCCGGUGCGCACACAGUCUAUGUUCUAUGUGGCAGCCCUUCAGAUGUUUGAAGCCUACUGUUGUGUUUCUCCUUAAUCUUCUUUUCUCCAUCUGUUUCAACCAUUCAUAACAGGACUUGCUUUCCAGGCUGAUCAUCACCCUCUAGGCAGGUGCUGGUUUUCUCCUGCAUCCUGAGUGUUUGGUGAGGUGGCUGCAAAUCUUCUUCAUCUCUCCCCCUCCCCAAUUGCUGUGUAUUAUUCGGGAUUAUGCAUAUUACGACAGACUUCCUAAGGACUCUGGGUUGUUGUUUUUUCUCCCCCUAAAACGUCUUCUCAUUUGAAGAAUGAGUGUGCUACCCUCUUUCCCAUUUCCUUCCAGAAUACAUUUAAAUGAAAAUGGCAAAUGAGAUAUUUGUUUGUAGCUGCAACGACUUCGUGCUGCUUGUUCCAUUUCUGAGAGAGCGGUGUUAUGAGCAUCUAACAUGGGAACAAAAGUAUGAUUUUAAUAUAACAAAAAGGGGGUGUUUUUGUUUAUGCCCUGCUGAUCUGUAAUCAAGUGCACUAAGUAUAUGUGUGUGUGCUUGGUCUUAAACCUCCUGUGACGUCUACUGUGGUUUCGAUUGUGAAUCAAACAUAAAGCCGUCAAGUCUCUCUCUUUCUCUUUCUUUACUUUCUGCACAAGUAUGGUUCUACUUUGAGGAUAUAUAACGCAUUUAAAACAAAGUGAGACCCAGUGCGUGUUUCACUUUUGAAGAAGAGCAAGUUCAUUUUGUUGGUACGAUUCACUGGGACUUUAUGAAAGAGUGUCAACGGAAUAGAUUUGCACAAUGGCAAUAUAGAUUUCUGAAACGAGCCAGAAAAAUAAUGGAGUCCAUACAUUGCCAUUGUUGGUUUGUUUUUGCUUUCAGCUGGUAAAAGUUGGCAUGAAAUAGCUUAUCUGGACUGGCCUCUGGUUGCAAACGGGAUCCGUUCCUGAGCCCCGUUUACAACCUGAAAGGAACGCAACCCGCAUCUGCGCACAUGCGGGUCGUGAUUUGCUGCUUCUGCGCAUGCGCGUUACAUCAUUUUGCUCGUCUGCGCAUGCGCGAGAGGCGAAAACUGGAAAUAACCUUUUCUGGUACUUCCGGGUCACCACCUGAAAAGACGUAACCUGAACUGAACAUAACAAGAGGUAUGACUGUAUCUUUAGGCAGACUGAGGUGGCUGUCUCAGGCAAUUGUGUGGUGUCAUGAAAGGACAGCACAUCGCUCUUUCUUUAUCAUUGUAUUGCCAAAAUAACUUAGCUAGUUUUAGAUGCCAUCUAGCAUCUUGUUCUCACACUGACCAACUAGAGGUCUGUGAGAGGCCCACAGCACCAGCAGAUCUCUUCUGUCUUUAUGAUACAGGUUUAAACAGAAAAUAAAUAAAUGCAAAUAAGCAUUUGCAAAUAGGUUUUUGUCUUCCACAUCUUGCGAGUUUGCUUUGGCAUUCCUAAGCCAUGUUCUGCUCCCAUAUUCUCCCACACACUUGCUUUUUCUAAUUUACAUAUCCCUUUUAUAGAGCUUACCACUUGCUCUUUGGUGUAUUAAUUUAAACUUGGUGAUUUGUUUUUCUGCUCAGGAAGCAGCAGACUCCAGGAUAGUGACAUAUUCUGGCAGCCACAAGCAGCGAUUACUUUCCAGUUUGGCUAAUGAUAUAAUCCACCGUGGUUGCAAAGUCUUGCUUUUCUCUUUAGAUGACAUUUUUCCGCAAGCUACACGUGUUGUAUUUAUAAGUGGCACUUAGGAAGAUGCGUUCUGUAAUCUCCUACUUAUGCCUGACACUCUACGCAUGUGUUUAUCUACAAGGAGUGAUGGCAUUGCUUGUUAAUUCCACCCCCUGCUCCACAGCAUCAUAAUAUUGGAGGUGGUGGUUGGGGAGGAGGGGAAGAGUGUCAGAGAUGUACUUUAGCAGCCAAAGAGUAAUAUAUUGACAUUGGUCAUGGGUACUUUAUAAGGCACCUAUUUGGAAAGUCAUUUGCUACCAAAUGUGGAGAAACCAUGGCUCACUUAUAGUGAAUACAGAAGGCCCCAGGUUCAUUCACCUGUUUAAAGCAUCAGGUAACAGGUAGACAGGUUCAAAGACCUCAGCUGCUGGUCAGAGACCACAUUCACACCAUACAUUUAAAGCACUAUGUUACACUUUAAACAGACUUGGCUUCACCCAAAGAAUUCUGGGAGCUGUAGUUUGUUAAGGAUACUGAGAGUUGUUAAGAGACUCCCUAUUUCCCUCACAGAGCUGCAGUUCCCAGAGUUCCCUGUGGAGAAGGAUGAUUAUUAAACAACUUGGGAAAUUGUAGCUCUGUAAGGGGAGUAGGGGUCUUUCAAGAACUCUUGACAACCAGCGCCAUUUUUCUAGAGAAAGAGGUGCCAGAACUGACCAUGAACACCUCCCUUGUUCUCUUUGAAUAGCAAUGGCGCCCACCUGAGAGGUGCCGGAACUCAGUUCUGGUGAGUUCCGGCUGGAAAAAAAAGCCCUGUCGACAACAUUAACAAACUGUAGCUCCCAGAAUUCUUGGGGUUGGGGGAGCCGUGACUGUUUACAGUGGUAUUAUAGUGCUUUAAAUGCAUGGUGUUCUGGUAUAGCACCGUUUCCCAUGCUCCUAAAUCAUUUCUGUGGACAGCUAUUCAUAUAUCGCAGAUGGAGAACGAAGUCCUUUGAAAUGCCCCUUCAUAAAAAUCAGUUGCUGGUGAUGGCCAAAAAUAAAGCCUCACCCUUAUUUUUUUGACAUUUGUGAAUGAGAUAUUUAUACUGUUCAUUUUCUCAAGUUGAAACUGGCUGUGUAAGUGGCAUGAUCAAAAUAGGGGUUUCCCCCCCUUGGCUACUGGAAGAAUGCGAAUAAAUACUGAUUUACCUGAAUGCCACCCACAUGCCACUGUGAACUUACGUAACCAAGUUUUUCUUUAUUAACUCUCCAAGGACACAAUAGCCAUGCACCGAAGAUCCUCAGCAAGAGCUCACACUGCCCAUGUAAGUGUAUUUUUUAUUUUAAAAAGGGGGGGAAAGGAAUCAAGCUCUUACCUUUCAAAUUACAUUCAUAAAGCAUUAUUCAAAUACGUGUAAGGCUGACUACUAAAGAAAGCACAAUGACUGUCUACAAUGCACUAAUUUUAUUCCACUUUGACUUUGAAAAUAUAAUCGGUACUUACAAAAAUUGUAAAUACUACGGAAUCAUGCUAGAGGGAUUAUUCUAAAGUGGAAGUGCUAAUAUAGCAAGCAAAAUAGCUCUUUCUAGUCUUAACUGGCUCCAUUAUCAGCAAAGAUAACAUCUGGCAACAACAUUGCAAGAAGCACAGUGUGUGUGUGUGUGUGUGUGUGUGUGUACACAUAACUAUCUGGGAUUUAUGGUGACAUGUACAUAUUAGUUUGAAAUGAACUUCGUCUUGAACUCCACAUGAGAUGGAACAGGUAGCAGUUAUUCCUUGUGACCCCUUGCUCAGCCACCCCAAUUAAAACAGCAGCUUAGCCAAAUGAAUGUCUGUCUACUACCAGCGAUUUAGUGGAAGUGGAAUGCAAGGGAGUGCUGCUCCGAGACUAUUUUCAGAGCAGGGGUGAUGGCCUCAUGUGCCAGAAUGCCAGGGUUAUUGAUGGAUCUUCCUUGCUCUGUCAGAUGAAUGCAGUGCUAAUGAGCCUUCCAAGUUCUCUCUUGCUUCUGAUAGCUUAGCAUCGUGGAAAAUCCAAAAAGCAGGUUGCAUACUUAUUUCCCUUUCUUUGAUGGAGUUCUUACUUCAUCCUAGUGGUUUUAUUGCAAAAAGAUGGCAGUCUUAAAUGAUCUGAAGAGAAGCCAGGCAACCUAUUUGCAGUGAUUUGACUCUCAAAAUACUGAUCAGUCACAGCAGGCUAACCACUACACCACCCUUUCCCAGCUCCCAGCUCACUGUUCCAUGAUUUUCUGCUGAUCUUAAUAUAUUGGGUAUUAUGCUAUGUAUUGAUGCCCUAUCUCUCUCUGUGUGUGAGUACAUAAUAGACCAAGCUGCCUAUAUUUUUGGACUCUCCUUGGGGACAUAGCUAUGAUGGCUGUCAUUGAUGGGCGCCUGCACUUUGCAAUUUACCACUGCACCACUGUCUACAGUGGCAUUCUCCUUGCGCCGUGCCACAUGGAGGAUGCCCAUAGCUGAUUGGAAGUGCAUUUGCUUUGUGUGCAGAAGGUUCCACGUUCAAUCCCUGGCAUCCCCAGAUAGGACUGAGAGGGAUAGAAGUCCUGGAGAGUCCAAAAAUGUUUAGUUUGGAAUUGUUUAAUUGGCUCUUAUUGUAUUAAGAUUUGUGUUAAGAUUUGUAUUAAUUGUAUUAAGAUUUGGCAUGGUUUGGUAUUGUAUUAAUGUGGGUUGUUAUUAAUGAAACAUUUAAAAUGGUGGAGGUAAAACAUUAAUAAAAAGUAAUUUUAAAAAAAGGAAUCCUGCCCAUUAGUGGAGCUAGAUAAUACUGAGUUAGAUGGCCAAGGCACUGUUCACUGCAGUAGCAAUCCAACCAAGUUAUCUAAUUAGACUAAGAAACGUAUCCUCAUGUAUUCAAGAAUUUGCGUAUUCAAGAAUUUGCGUAUUCAAGAAUUUGCACUCGUUCAAAUGAGCAGACCAGCAUACUAUAGCACUGUGUUGUUUAUUACUGCAUGCCUGGCAGUUUGCAUACUUAUCGAAGAGAACAUACCUGCAUGCUACAGCUUUCCAUUGUUUCUUACUGCGUCCUGGAAAGACUCAUAGCAGGACAGUGCUGCUCCUGACUACAUUCCAGAGUCCAUACUAGGCCAAGCAGACAGAGAUGUCUCCCACAGCACUCUAACGCUUCUCGCUACAUGCCUAGCCAACUGAACACACCUCUCUGUCACAGCAUCCUGUUGUUCCUUACUGCAUUCCAGUAUACCCUAAAUGAAAAUACCCCGAAGUGCCACGACACCGUAUUGUUUCUCGCUGCAUUCCAGACAGAGCUCAAUCAUUCUUGAUGCAUUAUGUAUUUACAACAUUAUAUAUAAGUGCCUGUUAUAAACAAACUGCUAUAUUAACAGGCACAGCUUAUAAAGUAUCAUUAUAAAGUAAUCAUUCAAUCAAUCACUCCACUCAGAACUAUCCGGGGGAGGCUGGGUGUUCGUCAAAUGAAAGGCAAAUGUCUGAUUUGCAUUCACUUUUCCAGAAUGUGCCAUAGAGUUGAGUUUUGCAGCGCUCUGUAUCCUGAAUACCAAGUGCAUACCUUUUUUUAUUUUCUCCAGAGACUUCACUUGGAGGCAAAUGGUGAGUCAGGAUAUUCCUUGGGAGCAAGUGGGAUUUGCAAGAAAUAAGAAGACCUCCCCUGGACUGGACCAAAUGCCAUAUAAUCCAGCCUUCUGUUUUAAACAUGAUCAAGCCGGACGCCUCUGAAAGCAGGACCUGAAGGCAACUUUCCCUCCCUUGUUGUUUGUCACCAGCAUCUGUUCUUCAGAAGUACACAAAACUUUGAACUUGGCAGUUCCAUUUGGUUAUCAUGGCUGCUACCCAUUGCUGCUCCCUCUUUUAGAAAAAAAAAAACAGUGACCAUAAGCAGAUCUUGUGGUACUGAAUAGAUUUUUUUAAAAAUCAAAUACAGAAAUACAGUGGUACCUCAGGUUAAGUACUUAAUUCGUUCCGGAGGUCCGUUCUUAACCUGCAACUGUUCUUAACCUGAAGCACCACUUUAGCUAAUGGGGCCUUCCGCUGCUGCUGCGCCAACGGAGCACGAUUUCUGUUCUCAUCCUGAAGCAAAGUUCUUAACCUGAAGCACUAUUUCUGGGUUAGCGGAGUGUGUAACCUGAAGCGUAUGUAACCUGAAGCGUAUGUAACCCAAGGUACCACUGUAGUGUGUAGCGUAGCACACAGGAAGAGGCAUUAAACUCUCAUUAAACUCUCUUGCGUCACAAUGGAUCUUCUUCUCCACAAGCUGACUUUUGCUCCAACGGAAGCAUUACCAUUUAUCCUGAUACAGGAGCACCCAUACUAAUUACAUUUUUUAAAAGCCAGUCUGCCUUGAGAAGUGGUGAACUCUCCCUCACUGGAAGUAUUUAAGCAGAAGCUGGGUGAGCAUAUGCCUGGGCUGCUGUCAUUGUCUCCUGCACAUAGCUGUCAACGUUUCCCUUUUAAAAAAAAGGGAAAUUCCCUUAUUCCGAAUAGGAUUCCUCGCAAGAAAAGGGAAAGUUGACAGCUAUGCUCCUGCAUGGGGCAGGAGGUUGAACUAUAGGGUCUCCAAGGCCCUUUCCAAACGUCUGAUUCUGCAACUUUAUCAUGCAACCACCACAUGGGGGAAAUGGUUGUGUAAAUUGCACGUUUGUGUCUGACAAAGCCAAGAUUCAGGCUGAGCAGAUUAUACUGAGUAAUAGUUAUGACAAUUCAUGUCAUGUCCUGUGCUCAAAUAACAGAGAAACUGUCUCUUGCAGUAAACCCUUCCAUAGUUAUACUGGGCUAGAAAGUACACGUCCCAAGUCUGUUUAGGUGCAGAGUCAGCAUAGUGUCGGCGUAUCUUCAAGUCUCGGUCUCCGAAAAAGCUUAUCAGUUUGGAUAUGCUGCUGUCCAGGUUGUGGUGAAGGUGAUGUAUCAAAUCUUGAUUGAGACGACACCAUGUCAGCUUGGUGAAAUGAUGAUGAAGCGAAAACAUGACCAUUUCUCCCUGUAUUAAAUUUCUGUAGUGAUGCAGUUAUAUAGAUACAAAGGCAUAUUCAUAUGGAACAAAAAAAGGUGGGGAGGUGUACAGCUAAAUGUUCUUAUAGAUCAAAUCUAUAUGUGAAAUUCAGCCUCCAACUCACUGUGUCUACUCUGACAUAGACCCUGGUCUAUGGUGCAUCUGCCUUUCCAUAGAUAUUACCAAAGCACACAGCGAUUCCAUUAGGUCAUGGAACAGUUUUCUCUCAAGCUGAUCUUUCACUUUUCUCAGAAAAGCAGUGUUGCUUUUCAACAUGCAGCUGCUGAAACCUUUCCCCUUGGUAGUUAGGAUAUUUAUGAACAUUCCAUAUAUUGCAGCAGCUUAGCAAAUAUCUUACACAUGAAAAGGAAAGUGCAACCAUAUUUCAGCUUGGUGCAGGGAUUGCCAAUUUUGUGUUCUGCUGAAAUUGUUAGACUAUGACUCCCAUCAUCCCUGACCAUUGGCCAUCCUGACUAGUGUUGAUGGGAGUCCAACAACAUCUGGAGAGACAACCCAUUGACUACUCCUGACUUAAUAGAUGACAUUAACAGCCUCUCUCUUCUUUGUAAGCUCUCUCCAUGUGUGUCUAUGUGGAACAUCAUGGUGGCCUUACAUGGACCCUCCUCACAAUCUGAGGUGCAAAAGGUAGUUUCAGGAUGAGGGCCUUCAGUGGCAGCAGCAUAAUUGUGGAAUGCUUUCCUCUGAGAGGCUCACCAGGAACCUACCUUGAUGUCAUUUCAGUGCCAAGCAAAUAUAUUUUGAUUUCCCCAGGUCUUUCAAUCUGUUGUAGCCUGAUUUUUUUAAAAAAAAUUAUCUACCAAGUGAUUUCAUGCUGCUUCUUGUUUUGCCAGAUCUACUAUGUAAACAUCUUCAUCAAUAUUUGCUUGAUUAAAGCUGUUGUAUUCCAAGGGAAGCUCCUAGGAAAAUGAUUUUGUGUUUGUGUGUGUGUGGAAAGACGGCAUACAAAUAAAACAACGAUGAAGAUGAUGAUGAUGAAUUGCCCAUGUAUAAUGUAAUUCAACCAGGGAAAGUGCAGAAGAGACCUUAUGUCACCAUGAGAUAGCAAAAUACGGUAUUAUGCAACUCUAUUCUUAGCCCCAAGUCAAUUAAAACUAAACUUCACUGAGUUCAACCAGAGCCUUCCAGAGAGUUAACAAAUACAUUUUCAGUACCACAUAGACUAUAUUGAUUUAAAGUUAUUGCUAGUUUAUCUUCCAUUACACAUCCGUAGGAUAUUUGUUAGUUUUACUAACUCUGCCACAUACAAGAUUCUAAAUUCCAGUGGUAAUUUGUUGGGUUGCAAGAUUUAAUUAGUAGAUUAAUCAGGCAAAAUGUCUCAAAAAGGAACAUGUGUUAAGAUUUUUCUAGUAUUCAGAUUUAUUUAAAUAUAAUCAAUUAAUCAAUUAAAAGGCAGGUGAUUAAUGAGUGAACAAAAUCUAAUCAACUGACAGCCUUAGUAAUUUGGGGACAUUUUGUCUGGAGGUUAUCUCUAACAGUGCAGCAGUCAAUAUAUUCAUGAUUAAUUCUACCUCUUCAGUCUCAACUGAGGAAGUAGACCUUUACGAGGCCAUGUUAACAGUGGUUACCUAAGCAACAAAAAGCCACAGUCACAAAAUUUUAAUCUAAUUCCUCAAAUAGAGGGGUUACAGCUCCAUCUGAAGCACCAUUAUUUUUGUAAAUGGUGUCCAUGGCACUAGGAAUAGGCAUUAAUGAUUGGCUGGGAUGCUGUUUCGGAAAUUUAGCACAGCCUGGGAGCUCAGAGCGCUCAACACUUUCCAACUGCAGUUAAUCAAGCACUGGCAUCAAUUCCUCUACUAAAGAGGAAUGACAAUAGCUUUCAACUGCUCCUAGUUAUCAGAAGCAUCCUAAUAAAAGCCGUGUGCCGUUCCAUCGCACUCUCCUGUCACUCACAAGUGCCAUCUAGAAGCAGAAGCCAGGAUUGGACUAUGUAGAUAAGAACAUGUUUAAUUCUCUGUGGGUGGGACUCCAGGAUAAGGGAGGUGUGCCUCCCUUAUGUCCUUUGGUGUCACUGUGGUCAUAAGCAAAUGGUUACCAUUCACAGCAGUGUGCAAAAGUGAAGCAUUGCACUCUAAGACACUGUUCCUGUCCAGGCAAAACCUGCCUCCAGCUUCUGACCAGUGUUGGUUCUGGGUUUGGGGGGCAUUCAGGCAAGAAACCUUUGAGGGCCUCUUGUCCCUGAGUAGCCCACUUCCUCUUCAACAGUGUUGCUACUCCCUAGUCAUUUGUCCUGUCCCUCUGAGCCAAAUCUGCGCCACCACACAGAGGAAGUGGUCAAGAUAAGCAAAGGCAAUUGCCACUUAUCUAGAAGAACAAAUCUUGCUGAGAAAGGACCAGCAUGGCUUCCACAAACAUAUUUUUUUAGAAAUAACUAAUAUUUUAAUAGAUAUUUGAGUGUUUCAGUAAGCAUGUGGAUAGGGGUGAUCCAAUAGAUGUUGUGUACUUGGACAUUCAAAAAGAGUUUGAUAUAGUCUCUCACCAAAGACUAAUGAGCAAGCUUAAAGCCUUGGGAUAAGAAGAUAGGUCAUUUUAUGGAUCAGCGGGGGUGGCGCUUUACCUUUACCUUUAACUGGUUAAAGAGCUGGAAGCAGAAAGCAAGAAAAAUGGGGUCACCUGAGAAUCUGUAUGGAAAUUGUGGCUCUGUCAGGGAAAUAAGUCUCUUAACAACUCCUAGCACCCUUAAAUAACUACAGAUCCCAAGUUUCUUAGGUGGAAGCCAUGACUGUGGUAUGAGACUGCUUUAAACCUACAGUGCAGAUGGGAACUGACCCAGAAGUGAGUCUUAUUUACUGUUGUGUUCUAACUUGGACUUCUAGAUUCAUCUGAUGUGUAGCUUCUGCAGCCCCAUUAGUGGACCUUAUCUAUCAUCUGGGAGCCAUUCUUGGAUGGGGAACCUGUGGCUGCAAGAAUGUUACGGGGCUCUCAAUUAUCCCUAUGCCUUGGCCACUCUGUCUGGGCCUGACAGAUGUUAAGAGCUCCAAAACAUCUAAAGUGCCAUAGGUUCCCCAACCCUACUAGAGACCUAGCAAAGCCAGAGGAUUCUUCUUUUUUUUGUUAACUAUAGCAAAGAAAGAUGGACUUUCUCAAGGUUUGCAUUGCAUUCGUACAUGAACAUGAAAACAACAGCAAACCCUCAACUGCGCAGAAUAUUCUGCACACUUUGGCCAGUUCCUUUCUGCUCAAGGCGAUUCUUUUCCAGAUCAUGCUCUGAGAGAUAUCUGCUCAUGAAGCAUACAGCUACUUUAAGUUGUCAGAAUAAAUGGGUGAUCCUUUCAAGUGCUGUCAAUCCACUUGGCUUAUUAACAUCACCAGGGGCACUGAGUUUAGCUUAGCACAGGAGUUCUUCUAUCUUCUGUGGAGGGGGCCAUCUAGUGAAUUUUGUCUUUUUGCAUAAUCAUUCUGUUGGAGUGGGCCUCGCAAGCCACGUAAUUCUGUUCAGUGCUAGAAGUACAGGAGAGCCAGAGCAUUCCCAUGAUGACUGUCAAGCCUCCACUGGAAGACCUCCAGCAAGGGAGAGACAACCACCCCUCUAGGUAAUUGUUGAGCUGCUCUUACUGUCAAGAUGUUUUCCCCAAUGUUCAACAAAAAGCUGGCCUCCUUUAACUUAAGCCUAUUAGCUCUAGUCCUGCCUUCUGGGGCACCAGAGAACAAGUAUUUCUAUGUGACAGCCCUGUUAGAAUUCCUGCUCCGUGAUUGCAGUCAUGGGAUUGUUGUCUUUCACAUGACAGUAUAUGUUUUGACUCCACAGAGUGGGAAGUGACGGAGACAGAAUGUUUGUGUUCUGUGAAGUGGGAUUGUUGUCCUUUGUUCUUUCUCUUUGCUGUCUGAAGCUAGAGAGAGAAGGAGCCAUGUUGCAGUGCUCCGUGUGUGUUUAUAUGUAAAUAAAGUAGAUUAGCCCAAAUGCUGAGUUGCUGAGGUCUGUUACGCAAGCUGCGAAGACUCUGCGGAUCCCUAAGUGUGCUGGUGUCUGUUGGCAUAUAGCUCCCGAACAAUUGACCAGGAGGGAGAGAACAUGCCAGUUGGCCAUGUGUCUCUACCAGGGUCAUAUUCGAGUGUAGGAUGAGCUCCUGACAAGCCCUUCAGAUCUUUGAAGUGUGCUGUUGCCAUGUGAAAAAAAAGAUAAAUGAAAAGCACUUCUUCAUGUAGCACAGUGUUAAACUGUGGUACUUGCUCCCACAGGAGGCAUUGAUGCCCACCAACUUAGAUACUGGGCAAAUAAUUCAUGGAGGAUAAAGGCUAUCAAUGGCUACCAGCCAUGAUGGCCAUGAUUUGCCUCCAUGAUCAGAGGCAGUAAUAUUUCUGAAUACCAGUGGCUGGAAACUACAGAAGGGGGAAUGCUCUUAUUCUUGGGUCCUGCUUGCAGAUUUCCCACAGGCACCUGGUUCUUAUGCUCAUGUUCCCCUGCAGUUUUUUCUUUUCCAGAAUAAGCAUACCGUACAUGGUUCGAGGGACGUGGGUGGUGCUGUGGUCUAAACCACAGAGCCUAGGGCUUCCUGAACAGAAGGUUGGCGGUUUGAAUCCCCGUGACAGGGUGAGCUUCCGUUGCUCGGUCCCUGCUCCUGCCAACCUAGCAGUUCGAAAGCAUGUCAAAGUGCAAGUAGAUAAAUAGAUACCGCUCCAGCAGGAAGGUAAACGGCAUUUCCGUGCGCUGCUCUGGUUCGCCAGAAGUGGCUUAGUCAUGCUGGCCACAUGACCCAGAAGCUGUACGCCGGCUCCCUCAGCCAGUAAAGCGAGAUGAGCACCACAACCCGAGUCGUCCGCGACUGGACCUAAUGGUCAGGGGUCCCUUUACCUUUACAUGGUUCCUUCAACCUUUCCUCGUAGGGCAGGGAUGGCAUAACCCCAGAUAUUGUUGGAUGCCAAUUCCCAUCCGUCUCAGAGAACAUGGCCUAUUGUAGGAGGUGAUGUCCAGCAACAUCUGUUGGCUGCUAAGAACAUAAGAAUAGCCUGCUGGAUCAGGCCAAUGGUCCAUCUAGUCCAGCAUCCUGUUCUCACAGUAGCCAAACAGAUACCUGCAUGCAAGAAGGAUCUGAGCACAAUAGCACUCUCCCCUCCUGCAGUUUCCAUCAACUGGUAUUCAGUUAUCAUAGGUCUUCACCACGCAGCCUGAUCCCCACCUCCCAAAUUCAGCAUUCAGCAUGAUCACCAUUUGACUUCCACCUGUAAAGAUCUAUGAAAACACAGACUGAAUUUUGGAGUGCAAACUUGCUGCCGGUUUACAAAUGGGAUGACUGCCAUACGUGCUCAGAGGGUUGCUACAGGGUUCACUCAAGAUCAGCAGUAUUUUUACCCACAUCUACCACCACCAUUGUAAUGACUAUUGCUACAAAUUUCACACUUGCUCAGCUGGAUCACUGGAUGUGGAUCACUUGGGCUGAUGUAAUGAAUUGUGGCUGGCUGGGUUGGAAGACAAUGAACCUUGCCUGCUAAUUUUACGAUCAUCUAAUCCUAAAUGGUUAUAAUGUAGACAUCUUCAACCAGAAAAAGUUCAGAGAUAAAAUCCAAACCAGGCAGAAGGUCAUAAUAUUUAUACUGCAAAAUACAGUAAAAUGGCCCGAUAAUCCACUUCUAUCAGUAGCACAGACUACAGUAACGCUUGAGAUUAUGAUAUCUCAUUUCUAGAUAUACUGAAGGGAACUUCUCUUGGAAAAUCUCUCUGUUAUCAUAGAAUUAUUGAACAGGUAGCAGCUUUCAACAGAAUGUCAAAACCAGCUUGUCUAAAUCAAUGUAACUGUGAAAUAACUUAGGGAAAGAAAAUCUUUGUGUCAACUAGCAUCACCCCAGCGAGUGCACCCAUUGGCAUCUUCUAAAGCCAUCUGGGUGGAAUGGAGAGAAAUAAUCUUAUACCGCAACAGUUGGGCACCAUAUAAAGAGUCCACAAAGAUACGAUCUGCAGUGCCUGUCCUAGCCAAAAGAAGAAAGACAUUCACUUACAUCUUAAUUUGGGUACAUAGAGAUCACAGGCCCAGUGGGUUUUAAGAUCUCUUGCAGAAGAACUGAGAAAAUGUCAACAUAUUGCAGAGCGUUAAAUUAACACACACCUCAUGCAUCAGGGCAGUACUCUGGGCCAUAGGUCCAGGGCCCACACGGCAGAAUGGGCAGGAGGACCCUUUGCUGACUUGUUUACCAUAUUUUGAAGUACAGUGGUACCUCGGGUUACAUACGCUUCAGGUUACAGACUCCACUAACCCAGAAAUAGUGCUUCAGGUGAAGAACUUUGCUUCAGGAUGAGAACAGAAAUCGUGCUCCGGCGGCACAGUGGCAGCAGGAGACCCCAUUAGCUAAAGUGGUGCUUCAGGUUAAGAACAGUUUCAGGUUAAGAACGGACCUCCGGAACGAAUUAAGUACUUAACCUGAGGUACCACUGUAAGUGAAGUUAUAAAUAUUACCCAGCAUCUGUGAAAGGAGCAAAUUCCUUGCCAGGGAGACAUAGGAAAUGAACGAGAAACAAAACGGCUGAUACCAUAACACCAUUCUACAAAUCUGUGGCAUCUGGGAUAUUGCGUACCCUAGGACAGCUUGAAAAAGGAUACUGUAGGGUGGGGAAAGAUUCAGCAAAGGGCAACCAAAUGAUGAUGAGGGUGGAGCAACUCCACUAUGAGGAAAGGUUCCUACAUUUGGGGCUUUUUCAUUUAGAGAAAAGGCAAGAAAGAGGUGACAUGACAGAAGGGUGCAAAAUCAUGCAUGGCAUAGGGAAAGUGGGCCAAGAAAAAACUUUCUUCCUCUCUCACAAACUAGAACUCGUGGAAAUCCAAUGAAGCUGAUUUUUGGAAGAAGGACAGACAGAAGUAAGUACAGUGGUACCACGGGUUAAGUACUUAAUUCGUUCCGGAGGUCCGUUCUUAACCUGAAACUAUUCUUAACCUGAAGCACCACUUUAGCUAAUGGGGCCUCCAGCUGCUGCCGCACCGCCAGAGCAUGAUUACUGUUCUCAUCCUGAAGCAAAGUUCUUAACCCAAGGUACUAUUUCUGGGUUAGCGGAGUCUGUAACCUGAAGUAUAUGUAACCUGUGGUACCACUGUACUUCUCCAUACGGCACAUAGCUAAACUAUGGAAUUCACUUCCACAAAAUGUAAUGGCCACCAACUUGGAUGGCUUGCAAGGAGGACUAGACAAGUGCAUGGAGGAGAAGGCCAUUGAUGAAGAAGAAGUAGAAGAGUUUAGAUUUGAUAUCCUGCUUUAUCACUACCCGAAGGAGUCUCAAAGCGGCUAAUAUUCUCCUUUCCCUUCCUCCCCCACAACAAACACUCUGUGAGGUGAGUGGGGCUGAGAGACUUCAAAGAAGUGUGACUAGCCCAAGGUCACCCAGCAGCUGCAUGUGGAGGAGUGGAGACGUGAACCUGGUUCACCAGAUUA
rnacentral:lncRNA from 1 species